UACGUAGGGGGCUAGCGUUGUCCGGAAUCAUUGGGCGUAAAGAGCGCGCAGGCGGCUUGGCAAGUCGGGUGUGAAAUCCCGGGGCUCAACCCCGUGACUGCAUCCGAUACUGUCAGGCUAGAGGUAGGUAGGGGAGGAGUCGGAAUUCCGAUGGUCGUAGGCGGUGAAAUGGCGACAGAUAUCAGGAGGAACGAGACCGGCGGGCGAAGGCCGGAUCUCUGGGCCUUGACCCUGACGCUCAGGCGCGAAAGACUAGGGGGAG
rnacentral:rRNA from 1 species